AUUGAACGCUGGCGGUAUGCUUAACACAUGCAAGUCGAACGGUAACAGGCCUUCGGGCGCUGACGAGUGGCGCACGGGUGCGUAACGCGUGGGAAUCUGCCCCUUGGUUCGGAAUAACACAGAGAAAUUUGUGCUAAUACCGGAUGAUGACGAAAGUCCAAAGAUUUAUCGCCAAGGGAUGAGCCCGCGUAAGAUUAGGUAGUUGGUGGGGUAAAGGCCUACCAAGCCGACGAUCUUUAGCUGGUCUGAGAGGAUGAUCAGCCACACUGGGACUGAGACACGGCCCAGACUCCUACGGGAGGCAGCAGUGGGGAAUAUUGGACAAUGGGCGAAAGCCUGAUCCAGCAAUGCCGCGUGAGUGAUGAAGGCCCUCGGGUCGUAAAGCUCUUUUACCAGGGAUGAUAAUGACAGUACCUGGAGAAUAAGCUCCGGCUAACUCCGUG
rnacentral:rRNA from 1 species